GUUUUCCUUCGGGGUCAGGUGAAAGUCCUAACCGGCGGUAUAGCCCGCGAGCUCUUUGGAGCAGGAUUUGGUGAAAUUCCAAAGCCGACAGUAUAGUCUGGAUGAGAGAAGGAAGUA
rfam:Lysinibacillus sp. BF-4 contig00016, whole genome shotgun sequence.